rnacentral:lncRNA from 1 species
CCACAUGAAUACACAUUUACAUUAAUUAACCUGAUAUAAACCAAGUUAUUGACAAAACAUAGUUGUUAUGGGUGCCACUGUGACCUGGAGAAAUUACAUAAAUCUUUAUAGUUCUAGGUCUAUGGGAGACAACUCCUGAUCAAUUUUAUUUCCUAUAUAUAUAUAUAUCUAUAUAUAUUUUUCUUCUAUUUUUUUUUUUUUUUUCAAACAACAAUAUUUUCUAUAAUUUUCUUUCGUUCUUCAAAAAGGGAGUGCAAUAAAUUAG